rnacentral:lncRNA from 1 species
AAACCGCAACAACAAUAUAUAUACAUAAUAAAUAAAUAAAUAAAUCGAAACAGAAAUUAUUCAAAAUUCAACAACACUAUUAUAAAUAAAACAUAAAAACUAUAUAUACAUAUAAACUAUAAAAGAGAAGAAAAAAAUAUAAUAUAUUAAACAAAUCUAAGUAAGACUAAUAUAUAAAGGAAAAGAACAAUAUUAUAUUAUAGAAAAAUAAUGUAAAGAGAUUGGAAAUUUUGGUUGCAUGUGACAAUCUAUGCUGACACUAA